rnacentral:rRNA from 1 species
AUUGAACGCUGGCGGCAGGCCUAACACAUGCAAGUCGAGCGAGCGGCGGACGGGUGAGUAAUGUAUGGGGACUGCCCGUUAGAGGGGGAUAACUACUGGAAACGGUAGCUAAUACUGCAUACUAUCCGAUAACCCAUAUGGGAUUAGCUAGUUGGUGAGGUAAUGGCUCACCAAGGCGACGAUCCCUAGCUGUGCUGAGAGGAUGAUCAGCCACACUGGGACGUAGACACGGCCCAGAUUCCUACGGAGGCAGCAGUGGGGAAUAUUGCACAAUGGGCGCAAGCCUGAUGCAGCCAUGCCGCGUGUAUGAAGAAGGCCCUAGGGUUGUAAAGUACUUUCAGUCGGGAGGCGUUACCGACAGAAGAAGCACCGGCUAACUCCGUGCCAGCAGCCGCGGUAAUAC